GUCUAUGGAGCUUUGCUGAGUAGUUCUAAUCCAAGAUCAAGCCAAACCCAUAUCAUUCUUUUGUCCAUCUAUAAUAUUUGAUUUGUUCUUCCAUUGUUGCCUGGAGGCAUUACUGACAGUGACCUAAAGUUAUUAUUACAUAAUUAAUCUAUCGAGUUAGGAGAAAGAGACUCACAUGGGGAAGUUGAACAUUUUUUUGGACCAUCUCAUGUGGGUCUUAGAUAUUGAAUUUAUGUAGUAUUAAUUAUUUAAAGUGUGUUACAUGCAAUAAUUAUUAAUUUUCUUUCGUUAAUGUAGCAGUGGAAUAAAGGAUUGAGAAAUUUUUUAUUUUCUUGCAUAAUGCGGUAGAAAUUAUGUUAAUAUUUUUUUUUUGAAAAUAUAUUAAAAUUUUUUUUUAUAAAUUCAUUUUUAAUAUUUAGAUGUUAAAACGAUAUAAAAAUGUUAAAAAAUUAAUUUAAAAUCAAAAUAUAAUAAAAUUGCGUUUCAACAGCAGCCAACCAGGCCUUGUGUCUUUUUCUCAACAGGUUCCUGAUUAGAUGCAUUAUAUUAAGGAAAUUACAAUUCCGUGCUCUCUUGGCCAGAGUGAAGCUCCAAAAGGUCUUUUGUUUGAUGAAACUGUCAGAAAUGCCUAUCUCUCUCUGGGAACAAAGUACAAAGGGUAUGGAAACUUGAAACCAUCUGCUAAGAGUUUUUAUUUUUAAUUCAGUAGCCUUAAUUGGUAAUAUUGCCAAUUCUUACUGCUUCGAUACCAACAUGUAAAUCUAAGAAAAGAUUUAGAUUUAGGUGUAGUAUACGCUAUGUAUGUUCCUUUUUAUCCGCAAAUCAUAUUAAUUAAUUAAACAAUAUGAGCCAAUCUUGGGCAUUAAUUGUGUUUUAUCAACCCAACAAAAGAACAAAUCAAGGCAGGGAAGAUUGAUCGAUCGCUAUUUCAAACAUUGCACAUGCAUAUCCUCCUUUUUCUUUUUCUUUUUCUUUUUUGAAGAAAAAUGAAAAAAUAAAUAAAUGAAGAGGCUAGUUAUUUUUUUGGUUCAUGUAACCAUAUUAAUUGUGACUUGUUUGAUAUAAGCAUCGACUGCUGUGUGAAUUCUUAUCUUAAAAUGUCCGUUAGGCUUAUGAUGAAGGAUUAAAAAAGAAUAAUUUAAUCUAAAUUUUAUAGAUAUGAAUUCAACCCGACUUGAAUAAAUAUCUAUCUUUUAGAACUAAUGGAUAAUAGAUAACGUAUAUGAAACCGCUUAAAAUUAAUCUAAAAUACAUAUUUAUAUUAUAUAAAUUCAUUUAUAGAAUAAUUAAUUUUUUUUUAAUAUAAUAUGAUAUAUGUAUAUUUUAAUAUUGACAUAAUAUAUAUAUAUAUAUAUAAUUUUUAUUUGAUGAGUAAUAAAUAAUAAAUAAAGUGUGGAUAUAAAGAAAAAUGAUAAACGGAUGACCAUUGUCAUCCGUAAUCACUUAACCUGUAUACAUAUGUCCAAUCAAUUCUCUACAACAGGUUCAGGGAGAUAGAUUGACCAAUUUAUUGUUAUUUGUCCAUUUUCCGAACCUAGUCGAAUGCAAUCUGAAGCAUUCAUUGUCUGAAAGCCAAGAUUGCACAUGACCUGUUCUCCUUUGCUAUGGGGUCCCAUGCUUCAUUGUUUCCAUCUAUAGUUUUCUACACUGUAUCUGGUCUCUUCAAGGGGUGCUCACAAUGGGCCAUGUUACUCCAUCGUUGAGCUUAGAACAUCAAGGUUUUGGCCAUUUCCGGCGUGCCAUGGCUGGGCCAUACUGGAUUACGGUCCCACAGAAGCAGCGUUGUCGUCGUCUGAUUUGAGUACACGAAGGAUACUGCAACAUGACAAUUCCAUUGUUGCAAAGACACAACACACCAUGUGUUCCACCAAGCAUCUCUUCUCUAUUUAUUAUUGUUGCCCAAAGUUUGUUUCGCACGAAAGGGUGAUUGCCAUACAUAAUACACUUUGUCUUGAUCAAAUUCUGGUCUUAAUUUUUUGUGGAAUUAUGCAAAUAGUUUAUUGCAUGACAGAAACAUGUUGUAUCAUGUUUGACAGAUAAUCCUACAUUGGAGUUCCUACAUUGGAGUGCAUUAUGGAGUGUGGAUGGUCUGCAAAUGGAGGAUUCAAAAUUCAUAACCUUAUAACAAGAUUUCAAUGUGUGUUUUUGGGUCCGGAAUGCAUAUUUCAUUUUAGAUUAGUGAUGUCUAUGCUAAAAUUCAACUUAGGAAGAUUUGUUAAUUUUAUUUCGUGACAUGUGACCUAAUUCGAGUUAUUUAUCAUGAGCUAGGGGGUUAUGUUGAGUCAAUUUGAUCAUCAUAUAUGUUCCAACUCUAACGCCCUAAAUGAAUUGACAAAAUUUUAGCGGAGUUUCCCUUGCAUAGGGGUCUUACCUAAAACUUGAGAUAAAAAAUUAUUACAUGCAGACACAACAACCCAAACCAUAUUAAGGAAUAUGCAUGGUAGUUUAGUUCCUACCAUUAAACAAAUAUGUUUGCAAGAGACUUUAUGGAGGCAUUAAAUUGAAACUUAGAUUUUUUGUUUGAAUGAUGAAUUUAAAGAUUAACUUGAAAUAAAUGCAUCGCCACUUGAAAUACAUUAAGUUAAACACUUAACUCAUCAUUAGAAAGGUAAGAAGUCAAUUAAAGCAAAACUCUCAUGAACUAAAAAGACUAAAUAAAACCCUUCAGUCUUCAACAAUUGAAAACACUAAAAACAAAUAAUCACAAAUCCAAUAUUACUAUUUCAAUAGUAACCGAAAAUGAAACUAAGGUAAUUAAUUCAUCAUGCCUGUCACUAUAAUAACCUCAAAUACAAUUUCAUCACACUACAAAUAAAAAGAAAGAAAAGAAUAGAUCAUUGUAAAGAUGAUAGGAAGAUGUUGAGCAAGUUAUUAAACACGAGGAGGAAAAGAAUAGACUUGAGCAAAUAGAGGUGCUAACAAGAAGGGAUGACAAGACUAUAAGAGAGAGAGAUGAUGAGAUUAUCAAAGAGAGGAUGAUGAUGAGAGACCGAGAGGGACCGAAAAGAGGCUUAGAAGGGUGGUAUUCUAGGAAUUAGGAAUUUUAGAAUUUAGUAAGAAGAAGAAAAUAAGGUGAAAAAAGGAUUGUAGGGUUUUAAUUGAUUUUUCUUGCCGAUAUAAAUUCUGUUAGCAAUUUCAUUGGUAAAUUAGACAUGUCAUCAAUGGCGACAAAAUCACAAAUGAAAAUUUUGUGGUAUUAUAAUAUUUUUUAUAGCAUUGCCUAUUCCGUCGGAAACUCAAAAACAUUUUGUAAUUUUCUGAUGAAAAUGAAAAAUUUUCACCUAUUCUAUUGAAAAUUAAGGUUUUUAUUAGCGAUGAAAUAUUUCAUUAUUAAAUCUAUCAAAAUACAUAAACCAUUCUACAAUGUUUUUAUGAAAAUAACAAAUUUGUGUAGAUUCCAUUGAAAAGUAAGGACUUUUUGUUCUGGUUAGUUUUUAAUAAUAAUAAUAAUAAUAAUAAUAAUAAUAAUAAUAAUAGAUAGGAAUAUUCAAUCCAACAAUUGCUCAUAUUAAAUCCACAACCACAAUAUAAUAUUUAUGCAAUUAAUUACAUGAAAAACACAUCUCCAAAAUUUUGCAACAAAUGUAAAUAUAAUGUAUUAUAAAAUACCAAUAAAUUUCCAAUAUAAUUUUAAUUUUAAUACGCAAUGAAACAUCAUAUCUAAAUCAAUUCAACACCUUUUAAUCAAAAUCCUUCUUUUCAUUUUCUUCAUCGUCAUGUCCAACAUCAUUUUCUUUGUUGAAGUCAAGGUUGAUCUCAUCAUCUUCAUCUGCUUCUCUAAGUCCACUAGUACUCAAUAUCAUAUUUAACUCAUCAACAUUAAAAUCAAUAUAAAUAUUGUUAGUGACAUGAAAAUUUAGAUUUUCUAAUUCGGCAAAUAGAGUAACACGAUAUGAGUCAAAUAACUCAUCUAGUUGAAUACAUCAUUUCCCUUAAUUACUUCAUCAAUACCUUCUUCAACAACUUUAACUUGGACAAGACUCCUAUGUUUGGUUUUCAUAACACAUAAUCAUUCAAAUUUAUUAUAACCUUUCUAAAGGAAUGAAUAUAUGUAUAAUAAAAUUUUUGACAUUGUUUUUGAAAGAAUAAAAAUGUUGUCAAUGCUACGAAGUCUGCCUGUUUUAUUUAUUUCAACCAAAUCAUGGUGAAGAUCUACUUUAGUUUUUUAUUAGUAUCAUAUCAAUAAUAUUUGAAUAAAAACACAGUAUCUUUUGAUCUAUGAUAUCACAAUUUAAUAAUAUCUUGUAACUUGUCAUAAUAAUCAACUUCAAACUUAUUGGAUGUUGAACCAUUCACACGUCUCUAGACCUUACCAGUAUGUGGGAAAACACCCCAACAUUUAUAAUGUUCUCCUGCGCAUAAAGCUGACGUGUCGCUACUAUCAUUGUUGGCUUCUAGUUGAAGGUUGAAUGUUAAGAUCAUAAACAUUAACAUGUUAACUCUAUUUUUGUGUUUGGUUUGUAGUUUAAUUAGACUUUGUGUUUAGAUUCAUGAGUUACAUACUUGUUUGGUUGAUUUAAUUGUUUGAAUGUGAUUUAUGAUAUUAAAAUGCUUUGUGUUGAUUAAAUUAUGUUUGUGAUGAUAUUAAAAGUUUUAGUUUGUAAAUUAGAUGAAUAAUUUUUAUUUGAGUGUGUUUAUGAUUUUAUGAAACUUGUUUAUGUUCUUAAUGUUCAAGUACCAAACAUGAUAUAAUGAAUGUGAUCUUGGUUGAUUAUUGUAUAAUAAAGUGUUAAUUUUUUUUUUUACAUGUUGACUUGAUUAAAAAUAAUUGAUAAAAAUUAGUAAAUUUAAAAAUAGUAAUUGAAUGAAGUGAAUGAUGAGUGAUUAUUAAUGAAGUUAAAAAUUGUUAGUAUUGUUUAGAUAUUGUUAUGUGAUUUUGAUUUCAAGGUAAUUAAUAAUGAAGUUAAAAAAUAUUAGGAUUUAUAGUAGCAUCUGCUAGAUAGUAAUGAGCUUGAUGGAUGUCUUAAAAAUAUUAAAAAAAAUGAAGACAAUAAAAUUAGUUUUAGUUUACAACCGAUUACAAUACCUAUUAUCCAAAAAGAAAUCUUUUCAAUAGUAUUGGCCAUUUAUCCCACUUCCCUCCACAUUUAAUCAUAAAUUGUUUGCUUUAAAUUUAUUAAUUAUUAGUUAAUGAAAAUCUAUGAAUAUAAAUAAUUAUAUUGUAUUUUAAGUUCUAAACUAUAUAUAUAUAUAUAUAUAUGAUUUUAUAAUAUUAUAAUCAGAAUUUAUAUUAUAUUUUUAGUGUUAUGUAACGCACCAACUCAAUGAUAAAAUCCAAUGGAUCUACCGGGAGUAAAUAUUCCAGCCCACAUGUCUUAUUUUCAGGCUCUCAACAAGCUUAGCCGAGAACCCAGAAACUAGCACAGAUGGUUUUCUCAUGGGUCACUCUUGGUUGUGGUCUUGAUUAGGCUCAUCGUUAGGGCUGAACCAAUAAAAACUAUAGAUGGGCUCAAUGAUAUAUUUGGACUUGUCAUAACUAACCCAAUUAAACCCUAGCUCUAUGGAAACAUGAAUCAUAAAGUCGUCCCACGCCAGCUAUCUUCGCAGUUAACACUGUCUCUUAUUUCCCUUUCUCAGCUUACUAUUCACAUACAAUGGGUUUUACAAAGGAACAGUUGCUUGCUCGCUUGAAGGUUUGUCUGUCUCUUUGAUUUGAGCUCAUUAUAAUGUCAAGAAACUUGAUCGGGGUUAUCUGUGUUUUGUCCCAUUUUCCAUUUCUCUUGAUCUUUCAUUAGAGUAACUUGUUAGGGUGGGUAUUAGAUUCUUUCAGUCAUUCUUUGCUCUUGAAUUUAUGGUUGCACGAUGUUCAAAAAGAAUUCUGUGAAUGAGGAUAGGGUUUGUGCCUUAUCAUGAAAAAACAAUAAUUAAAUUGCAAGAUCACUACAUUUGAAUGGGGAUUUAGCAAUUGUAUUGACUUUUAAAUCAAGACCUUAAAUUACUGAAAGUGAAUGGUUUUGAAUGUGCGUCCAUCACUUGGUUAUAGCUUUGUUUAAUGUCUCCAUUGUUAUUUUUUUACCAAUCUGAUGUUGGGUUUUUUUAGGAGCUUCAAAUUGAUUUUUCGCAGUAUGAACAUCCUACUGUUUUGACUGUUGAAGCACAGGUAAAGUCCCCCCCCCCUCCCCCCAAAAAAAAUGCUUGUUAUAUUAUACUUGAUCAUUGUUGUUCUCCAUCAGGCAAAAUAUGUCGGGGAUAAGGGAGGUGGCCUCAGUAAAAAUUUAUUCUUUAAGGUAAAAUAUAAAGAUUUUAUGAGGUGUUCAGUUGCUAAUUGUUGCAGUAAUACAUCUUGGCAGUGUUUUACAUUUUUUUCCUUAUCCAUAGCCCGGUAAUUGUAUGUCCUUGUGUAUGCAGGACAAGAAAAGUCGGUUCUAUAUUGUUUCUGCUCUGGCUGACACGAAAGUAGAUAUGAAAGGUGAGUUCUUUUUCUUUUUUCUUUUUAACUUUAUGACGUUGUAAAACUCAAAUUGGAUUGGAAGUUAGAAAUGCUGAUAUUCUAUUGUCAUUCAUUUCCUGGAUGUUGAUGGGAAUUACUUGUUUUUUAUUACCUGAGCAGUUUUGUCUCAAAGGCUUGGUUUGGGGAAAGGAGGUAUAAGAAUGGCUCCUGAAGAAGCAUUGGGUGAGAUACUUCAGGUAUAUGCCUGGACUGUGCUUGAGUCCCUCCCUUAUCAGAUUUUUCCAUUUUCAUUUCAUUGUUACUGACAUUACUUAUUGCUGUUCUCAAUAAAUAAAGCACCUUGUUAUGCAUUCAGCAUGUGUUUACAAGUUGAAUAGUUUGAAAGAUUGAUCAACAUCCUGCAGUUUUUUAUUUUAUUCUUGCUUGCUCUUGUGUUCAUGGCCUUGAGUUCUGAUGACCUGGAAUAGGAUGCUGGGGCAAAUUCUGGAAAAUGUGCAUUAGAUUCUGUUUCAUCUGUUAACUCUCCUUAAAUCCUGAGAGAAACUAAAUUGUGUGUUUGGAUACAAUAGGAUUGUUAGGUUUUUCUAUUCUCAUCUGAUCUACCCAUUCCCACUGCUGGCAUGCAUGAAAUCAAAUCCAUGACUGCGUUGUAUGGUAAGAUCUUAUUAGAUCUUACCAUUUUGUUAGCUAGUGAAUUCAUUACAUGUGUGGCAAUCGAACAAUUCCACAUUUCAUUGGGUUUAUUCUGGUUGAUUAGUUUGCUUCUGGUCUAAAAUUUUGAUGGUAAUUCACUCUCUGAUCUUCUUAUGUUUUCUGUUUUCAAGGUUCCGUUGGGCUGUGUUACUCCAUUUGCACUUGUAAAUGAGUCAGCACGGUGAGCUUUAAAUUUAUUUCCUGCAUUGAUUUUUAUCAUUUCUUUUCUGAAGUAUUUAUUUGAACAAAUUCAUGUUUGCAAUUUUGCUAACUUGCCAAAAUAAUGUUUAUGUGAAAUGUUUCAAAUCUUACAGUCUCUAAUAUCAUCUUGUUACUCAUGAUGCAUAGCAUAUGUGAUUCUUCUAUUUGUAAUUAUCUGAACUGCUACAUAAUCAACAUAAUUAAUGUUCAUCUUAGCCGCACCUUAUGUAAUGUUUCUUAAUUGAAGAUUAUGGAUCAACCUGCUCAAUGAGAGGGUGUAAUAGAAUGUAGCUACAAGAAAUUGGUGGGAUACAUAAGGUAGAGGAAUUGAUAAAAUAUAAUAAAAAGCAGAGGUAUAUGGACAAAAUUUCUCAAGUGAUUUUGGAUAAUGGUUAUAGUGUCAGGUAUGCAUUUGAGGGUGCAGGAGGCUUUGAAUCUAUUUCUAACAGUCACUUUAGAGUUACUUUAGCUGUUUGUAUGUUUUCAGGAAAAUUAUUUGUUGAUGGUUUGCAGGUUUAUGAUAAUUGGAAAGAUAAUUUCUUUAUUAAUGACUAGCUGAUGUUUUAUAAAUGGAAAAAGAGACAGAUCACAUCUUUCUGUGCCAUCACAUAUUUUCCCUUUGAUGAAACUACACAUUGCAAAAAAUUGUGGGCAUGUCCCAUAUUUAACAUGCAUAACUUUAAGUUAUGACACAAAUGUUGCUUCAUAACUUUUUAUCCAUGAUUCAUAGUUGAUCGAUAAUCUCUUUAGAAAAGAAUCACUUGAUUAUUGGUGUUGUACUUUAACCAAUAUCUCUCUUAUGAAGGCAUGUCUCACUCUUGUUGGAUAAAGGAUUUCAAUCUCAGGAGCAUUGCUUUUUCCAUCCACUAUCUAAUGAUAUGUCAAUUGGUAAGUCCGACACUCUUUUUUUUCCUGCACUUUUUUAAUCUUUGGUUUUGCACAAACUCUCAAUGUUCUUGAACUUGAAUACCACUUUUUUUCCUGAUAAGAUAUUGCACCCAUAGACCUGUUUAAAACCAAUGAUUUGAUAGUUGCGACUCUUUAUGAUAUAUAUUUUAUAUCUAAUACAAUUUGAAAUAACUUUUUAGCCCCUGUUUUUAUUUUCAAAAGGCCAAAAUGCGAUCCAAUCAAUUGAUGAAAACUGUUAGCUAAUGUGAACUUUUUAGGUUGUCUUGUCUUUCUCUUCAUAACAUCAAGGCCAGUCAUAGGCCUGCAAGUAUGAAGUAGCCUUAACAUUUCACAGUAGUUAAUUGUUGAUGUUAUCAAUUGGGGUGGUUUGAGUCACAUUUGACUAAAUUAGUUGUAACUGACCAAAAAUGUAAAAAGGGAGCAAAUCAACUUUUUGCCCCACAUGAUGAAAUGCACCAUUAGUUCUUUCCCACUAGAAUAGACUCUGAUUCAGGCAUGUGCUGUUCUUGCUUCCAGCUCUAAAUGCUUGCGAUCUUGACAAGUUUCUUAAAUCAAUAGGAAGAGAUCCCUCAUACAUUGACCUCGAGGUAAUUUGUAGUUCAGUUUAUUGUAUUAAUUCUCUCAGUUAAUUUUUCACAGAACAUUGAAGAUACAAAAUUAUGUUCCUUGUAGGCUAACCCAACUGUAGGGAAGGAUCAACCUCCAGAUCUUGCUUCUUUUGUUCCAUCUGGUUCGACUAUUCAGCCAGAUCAGCCGGAUAAAGCAGCUCCCCCGCAAGAUCCUACCGAGAAUUCUGCUCCUGUGAAUAAGAAGUCUGUAGCUGCCACAGGUACUCAAUCCAAAUGUGAUUUACUCAUCAGUCGUCAACUGAUUUCUACAGGAUAGACAUAACUAGUUUAUCAGAUUUCUGUUCGUCUUUUGGGCCUACACUUUAAUAUGUUCUCAUUUUGGACUGUUUUUACAAUACUCAGACAAUGGUUUUCAUAAUUUUCUGUUCAGCACUACUAUAUGUUCUCCUGCCUAAAGAUUUAAAAAAAAAAAUUCAAAUUGUAUCUGCUUGAUUAUAGAAGUACUUCCGCUUAGAUAUGCAUAAUGAAAACUCCUCAUGAAUUUUUUUUUGUUUAUUUGACAGUAAUGGCAUAAUGAUUCUUUAUCUUUGAUGUAGGAAAAGCUGCUAAGCCGCACACCUCCCCGCAAAAUUCCUCCGUGCAAAAUUCUAAAGACAAGUCGGUCAAUCCUGUACAUCAGCCAAGUGUUUUCUCAGAUGCUGGAUUAUUUGUGGAAGAGAUUCUCAAUAAGACAUCAGCUCUAUUACUUUCAGAGGUAAGUUCUGUGCAAUAUGCUUCCAUUUUAACCGUAGUGGAAUCUCUGAGUUAGACCUGUGGAAUUUUUCUAUGCAGAUCACAGAGGAUGCUGUCAAGGAGAAUGGCGUAAAUCUAGGAACUGUGGUUGCUGAAAAUAUUAGAAAGCGGCUUAAUUCAGAUUUGCAAAGCAUUGCUGUGAGUAUUUUUCAUUCUUUUCUAUUUCCAAAAAGAAGAAAGUCUACUUUUACCAUCACAAGGCAUUGCCUGCAAUAUCUUUUGACUUUUUAGCACGGUCUCUUGCCAAAAGGUGAAAUAUUUGGCUGUGGAUGCAUAUUUUCUACAAUGUUCAUGAGUUUUUAUUGUUUUUUUUUAAUUUUUCUUUUGCAGACGAUGUUUAAGAACACAGCCUAUACGCAAGGGUUUCAUGCUGGUGCUCACCGUAAUUUAUAGAUUUCUCGUUGAAUCCUGUUACAAAUAAUAGGAAUGUAUGUUUGAGAAAAUUAAAUUAUAUAAAAAAACUAAAACAUCAUUAAUACACUUUAGCUUAUGAGGGAAAUCACUAUGGAUUCGCACUCUGCUUUCUUCUUGCAAUGUUAAAAAAACAUUUUGACAUUAAUUUGAUGCUUGAUUUUGCAAAAAAAAAAAAAAACUUGAUUAAAAAUAAUUAAAAAUUUGGGGAUCAAAAUUGUCUCAAACAAAAAUUUCAAUCUUUUUUUUUUUUAAUUGUACAGGAGGUGUAUUUUUCAGUAUAUGGCCUUUAAAGUUUUAUCAUGACUCUUUUGUUGCUACUUUUUGAGAAUUUUACAUUUUGAUGCAUAAAAUUCAUUGUAUUCAUGUUUUAGUCCUUGUGAAAAGGAGAGAGUAGUUGGAAAAUGUAGAUGAGAGACAAAGUUGAUUGGUCAUUUAAUGAUGAUAAAAUAGUUAUUUUUUAUGUUAAUAGAUUUUAUUUGAUGAAAGAAGUUUUAUUUAUUAUUUUAUAUCUUAUUUUAGUUAGAAAAAAUAAAUUGGGAGUUGUAUUGUUUUUCUAAUCAGGAGAAAUUUUUUUUUUUUUUUUUAUCAAUUAAACAUUUUGAGGUUAUGGGUUGAGAAAUGCUGAUCAAAGCUUUAGCUUUGGUUUCAAGCUUUCAAGGAAAGAUUAUCCAAAGAGUCAUGAAUAAAAAAUGCGAGAAGAGAUUGGCUCACAUUGAAAUCAGGGAACCUGAAGUUGGAAAGAUUGACAUUCCUCAGAGUCAUCCUUAAUUCCUCAUGGAGAUAACAAAGGCAUUUCCUCACAUUCCUCCUAUUUCCAUAGCAUUUCCUAAGUCAUCCUUCAUUGCUUAUGGAGAUGACAAAGGCUUGAAUCUUAAAACACUUAUUUGUUGAUGUGAAUACUCUGGGAAUCAAAGAUAAAGACCAGGGAUAAGUUAAGCAGCCAACCUUGACGCCUUCUGAGAUCAUCAUGCUACCGCAACUUGCCAUCAACACUCUUAGGAGACAUUUGAUGCUAACUAGUUCAUCAGGAAAUACAGAGAAGAAGAACAGUUGAAGAACAACUGGUUCGAGGAAGAGAUUCUCAAGUCUGUCAUUUUCUGUCAUAUUAUCUCUACCUUUCUAGUGAUCAUGGAUCUAGACACUAGAAAAGGAACUAUCUUUAUAUUGGACCCUUAUAUAUUUUAAUAUUGAUACCAAGCAUGCAAUUUCCUUUCAAUAAUAUCUCAUUUGCAUUCUGUCUUUUAGUUUUAUUCUUUUUUUUUUCUUUUAUUCACGGGUUGAACAACUUGAUCACCAUUUUAAAAUUCAAAAUAAAUGCACUGAAUUCAUUUGGUUUAACUUUAAAGAAACCUUAAUUGCAAUGGAUGAAGUAGACUGGAGUGAUCAAGACACUCGAUAAUUUGCUAAGUUAAUCAAGUUGUCCGAAUGUACCAUCAAACUGAAUAAGGAACUUGAGACUAUCAAUGUGGGUGCUAAAAAAGAUUAAAAAUAAAAAAGAAGAAGAGCGAGAGAGAGCUAAGAAUCAACAUUUUAAUGACCACAUAAGAAAAUGAAGAUUUAGUGGCUUUGUUGAAAGAAUUUGUAGAAGUGUUUGCAUGAUCUUAUGUCGAUAUGUUGGGUUUAGAUAAAAAUGUUAUGGUUCACGGGCUGCUGUUGAAUCCUAGGAGAAAAACUAGUCAAGAAAAAGCUUUGAGAAGUGUUUGCAUGGUUUAGAAUGCUAUAAACUCUUUUAUGGAUUAAUUCCAAGGCUAUAAUUAGAUCAAAAUGGCUUUGAAAGACAAAUAAAAUAACUUUUGUGAUACCUUUUAGUUUGAAGAAUGUGGGAUUAACACAUCACUGUGCUACGAUGGCUUCUUUUCAUAACAUGACGCAUCAAGAAAUUAAAGUAUAUGUCGUUGGUAUGAUUGCCAAGUUAAGAGAAGGAGAGAAUCGUGUUGAGACAUUGAGAAAACUGCUUGAAAGAUUGAAGAAGUACUAACCGAGGCUUAAUCCUGCAAAAUGCACUUUUAGGGUUUGAUCUGUCAAAUUGCUUGGGUUUGUCGUAAGCAAUAAGAGAAUUAAGAUUGAUACAAAUAAAAUCAAAGGAAUUUAAGCUAUGCCUGAACCCAUAAUAGAGAACAGUUGUACUACAUUACCUGCUUUAUCUCUAUCAGUUGAUAAUAACAUGUGAACCUAUCUUUCAAUUAUUAUAGGAGAAGAAUCCGGGUGUUUGGGAUGAAGAAUAUCAAAAAGCAUUUGACAAAAUCAAGUAAUAUCUCUAGGAGCCACCCUUACUAGUACCACUAGUUCUUGGCAAGCCUUUAAUUGCAUAUCUGACGGUUAUCUACGUGGUAAUGGUUUGUGUUCUGAGUUAGCAUAAUAAGUCUAGAAAAAAAGAGUAGGUUAUUUAUUACUUGAGUAAGAAGUUCACCAACUAUAAAUCGAGAUACUACUCUCAAAAAAAUAUGAUGUGAUUUAGCAUGGUACAUAUAGAGGCUCAAGCAAUACAUAUUAUAUUACACUACAUAGUUUAUUUCUAAGAUGGAUCCCUUCAAUAUAUUUAUAUUUUUAAGAAACCAUAUCUAUUAGGUCGCAUUACAUGAUGGAAAUUAAUGUCGUCGACAUUAUUCAUAUAAAGAGAAAAACAAAAUAAGGGCAAGGCAAUGUUGUUGAUGAUGAAAGGAUUAUCAGUCAAUAAAUUUCUAAUUUAGAUAAGUCCAUUGUAGUGGUGAUUAAAGAUGAUAAAACUAAACCUAUAAAUAAUAGAUGAACUAUUUAUUUUGAUAGGGUAGUAAAUUAUGUCUAAAAAUAGUAUCGAGACAACAUUGAUCUCUCCAUAUGGUAGACAAUACCCAAUUGCUAUAUGAUUGCAAUUUGAAUGCACCUACAACAUUGUAGAGUACAUGGAUUAGAAGUAGCUCUAAAAAUGAAAAUUCACAAAGUAUAUAGCGAUUUGUUGUUUAUAAUUUUCUAAGUAAAAGAAAAUGAAGAUGAAAGAUGAAAAGUCAUAUUAAAAAUAUUUCACCAAACUAGCUUCUUAAUUUGAUGAGAUUGAAUUCAAUAAUAAAAUAUAUAGGAAGAGAGAAAGACAUUGAUUUUUAUAGUUAUUAGAGCAACUGUCUACUCCACCUUUUAGCUAAUUGGAUCAUGAAAAAGAACUGGGCUAUACUAUUUUCACGGAUUUGUUCCCUCUUGUAAAUCGUUUGUUCUAGCCACCAUGGGUUCCAAUUCUGGUUAAUUGUGAUUGAUUGAGGCUUACACGCCGCGCCGGAUAGUUUAUUGGGCCUUCGAUAAAACCUAGGCGCUGUCCUUUGAUCCUGCCCGGCGAACGCCGAAAUUGAGCUCAGAUGUGCAUUUCCGAUAUGGUAUCGUGGCCAGCCAAGGAGGGCAAGAAGGAGAAAGAGACGCGAAGACAACGGUCUUUCUCUCUGGCAACAUAGCUGGGUGCUCGUUUAACAAGAAAACUCUUUCAGAUCUGCAGACCACAUCUUCAGAUAUCUCAUAUUUUAUGCAUCGAAGAACAAUGAGACAAGCAAUAACUCCAAAUGUUUUUCUUCCACGGCUUUCAGAACAGGGAACAUGUUCGCCUCCUUCAUGUGCAGUUUGUUCGGAUGCAUUUAUGAUCCCAGAAAACUAGUAAUUCGUUGUUUUCCCAAUUAAAGCAAUACUUUUUUUAAUGGUAUUAAAAAAAAUAUUUGAGUAAGCUUACACACACCUCAAUUAAUUUUACAAGUCUUAAAAUUAAUAAUUAUAUAAACUUUUAAUAAUCUUAAAUAAAACUCAAACUUAUUUAAAAAACAAAUCUAAAAACUAAUUAGCCCUCACACAACCAGUUAAUUAAGGAAUACUUUGUCUGGUGGUGGUGACCUCCUGCUUGCGCGCAUGCUAGAGGGCUCAAAGCCUUACAUCAACCACAAUUACGUGCAGUAAUCAUUUCUCAGGAUCCCACCACCACAAAAAUAUUUUUGAUAGAUUAAACAGUUAAUUAAUAUACUCAUUCUUUUUUAAUUUAAUUAUCCAAAAAUGCAUGUCCCUUGCUAAUAAAUCAUAAAACUAAUUAUUUAUCUUGUUUAUUAAAUUACUAAUUUUUCAUUCAAUCACAGUUAACGUGAAAGGAUGAUUCUAUAAACACAGUAAAGUAAGAUGGGCUGGUACAAUAUUUAAUAUUUUUUAUUAAUUUGUAUAAAAUGUCAAAUAAAACUAAUUUUUCUUUUUCUUUUUUAUUUAAUCCUUGUGAAGCAUCAAUUCAACCCUAAACUGACAGGUUAGGCAGAGACACAAUGGACAAGACAUCGCAUAACAGCUUAUAAUGGUGUUUGGUGCAUAUUUUGUAAGAAAAGUUGAGUUGUUGCUGUAUGUAAGGUCUUCAAGGGUUAUUUUCACAACACCAAUUAUUCAGAGCUUUUAGCUUUUAAAGCAGAGAUAAGCACUAUUAAGGGGGGGGGGAAUCAAAUUAUCUAAACCACUUCAUUUUAUGAAUUUUUAAAAUUUUGAAGAAAGGGUAAUUCAAGAAUUACCCGAAAUUUAUUUCGGAUAACUUGGGUAAAACAUAAAUAAAUUGGAUUACCCAGACUAUAUAAUUUAUUUAUUUAUGUACUGACUUAUCUAUAACCUUUUAAAACUAAUGGGAUUGUAAUUUUUCUUCAGCCUAAUUUUAUAGUCAAGACUUUUUAAUGCCUAGUUUUAUCUAGUUAGUUGAGAAUAUUUAAGGAAUUCUGGAUUAAAAAAGAUGGUGGUAAAGCGUUCAGACAAAAUAAUUAGAAUAAUUAAAAAAGAUUAUUUCAAGUCUGAUAAUUUGAAGAAAAUUCUUUGAAUAAUUAAAAAAUUCUUCAAAAUAACUUUUUUAUUAUUAUUCUUUAUUCGAAUUACCUAUAUAAUCUCAUUGCAUCACCUUACAGAUUGCGAAGAGGUGCUACCACUCAAGCUAAAUGCUUGUCAGUUUGUUUGAUGGGCAAUUAGAACAAUACAAAAAAUAAGUUUGUCCUAAUAUUACAGAUCUUACCUCUUUUCUGGAGAUAAUCUUGUUCCUACCAUUUUUUGCCCAAAACUUGCAUUUUGGAGUCAGGACAUAGGUAUCUUUAUCAAGAUAAAAUUACAUUUCUAUCCCGAUAAUUGUUAAAAAUAUGCUACUCAAAACACAACCUUAAUUUACUACUCAAUUUCCUUUUGACCAUUACAUUGAAAAGAACACAGAUUCAACAGCCAGAUCCCAUAGUAUUUAUAUGGCUGUUACGGUGAGCAAAGCAUUAGACAUAGACCCUUAAAAAAAAAAAACCCCUUUCCCAGUGUUUGGUAAUCCAAGCCCAAUGUAUAACAGCGAAUUUCAGGAGAGUGAACUCAAGUACGAUAGCCGAGCCUGACUUCGUAGGAAGCAUGAGCUAGGGCAAGAAACUCAAGCUCAUGUUGGGCAUGUUGUCAUGCCCAGCACCACCAUAGGCUCGGAUUUAACAUGAUAGGUUCAGACUCAUCAUUUAAAUCUAUUUUUUACCUUUAAUGGCUCGAGUCCAAUAUUCGCUAGGAUUUUUCUGGAACCUAAACAGGUCCUAUAAUAUUUUAUACUGAUUCAAUACAUAUUAUUAUAAUUAGAAUACAACUCAAAAUAUUAUAAGGAUAAAAUUACACUUCAGCCCCUCCUCUUCACAAAAUAAAAAGAUUAAUGGGCUAUAAAUAAACCAUGAAUCCUUCAAGUCAAAGGUUUAUGAUCUUUUCAUUCUUAAUAUUUUCAACAUACGUUAAUAUUAUCAGAGUUUAUCUUUUUAAAAUAUCAUUGUAUUUUCUCUUUCUAUAAAAUUAUUAAAUUUACCAUAAAAAAAUCACAAUAUUCAUAAAAAAAAACAAUUUUUUAUAAAUACCAGCUAUUACUCACUUGACUGACUAUACAUCACAUUAUUUAUACUAUUUAAAAUUUCAAAGUCAAGAAAAAAAAAAGUUCAUAAAAAAUUGGAUUUGGUGACUAUACCGAAUCCGGUUACCAAAAAAAGGAAGUGGUGGUUGAAGGGGAAGAGGAGCUCUUUUUUCGAAACAUGAUAGCAUUAAAUAACACUAUCACUUUGGACUUUCGUAGGUUACAUUAUCUCUCGCCAUCACUUUUGCUGCAUCAUUUAAUUGCUCAGUAAUAUAUACAAAGCGAAAGGAAUAUUUGAAUGUGGUUCAACGAAAUCAAAUAAUAAAUAAAUAUUUGAGAUUCAAUUUGAAAUGCACCGCUGCAAAAGCUCUUUCAAACCUUAAAAAAGAAAAUAAAAAAAAUAAACUUUUGAACUCCAAAUAAAAAUUAUAAAAACUUUAAAAUUAGCUAUGUACUUUCUUUAUAUUUUAUAUUAUGAUCCUUUAGGUUUUAAUUUUAUCUUUGUAAGAUAAUUUAAAAUUUUAUCACAUAAAAUUAGGUAAUAAAAAUAUUAAAUUAAAUAUAAAAAAGCAUGACAAUGAAAAUUAACAAACUAUAUAAUAUUUUAGUAUAUUUGUUAAUGAUAAAACAUGGUAUCAUAGUUAUAAAACUCAAUCUAAGAUAAAUUNNNNNNNNNNNNNNNNNNNNNNNNNNNNNNNNNNNNNNNNNNNNNNNNNNNNNNNNNNNNNNNNNNNNNNNNNNNNNNNNNNNNNNNNNNNNNNNNNNNNNNNNNNNNNNNNNNNNNNNNNNNNNNNNNNNNNNNNNNNNNNNNNNNNNNNNNNNNNNNNNNNNNNNNNNNNNNNNNNNNNNNNNNNNNNNNNNNNNNNNNNNNNNNNNNNNNNNNNNNNNNNNNNNNNNNNNNNNNNNNNNNNNNNNNNNNNNNNNNNNNNNNNNNNNNNNNNNNNNNNNNNNNNNNNNNNNNNNNNNNNNNNNNNNNNNNNNNNNNNNNNNNNNNNNNNNNNNNNNNNNNNNNNNNNNNNNNNNNNNNNNNNNNNNNNNNNNNNNNNNNNNNNNNNNNNNNNNNNNNNNNNNNNNNNNNNNNNNNNNNNNNNNNNNNNNNNNNNNNNNNNNNNNNNNNNNNNNNNNNNNNNNNNNNNNNNNNNNNNNNNNNNNNNNNNNNNNNNNNNUUUGUGUUUUUUUCAUUAUUUUUUUUAAUUUUUUGUUCUUAAUAACUGUAUGAAUGUUGUUGUAGAAUUUUUUUUUUCAUAUGGGAUCAAUGUUUUUGAGUUAUUCAUAUGAGUUGAUUUUCUUCUUCUUUUUUCCAAGCAACUCAAUUUUGAAGUAUUAUGGAGUGUUGAUUUAUAUUAAUUUAAUUAUCUUCUAGUUUAGUUAAAUAGAGUUUUUAAAAAAUAUUUUUAUAUAAUCACCAACAAAAUUGCAUAUUAUAUUUUUUUGGUUUUAUGACAAUUUUCUUGAGGGAAAUAUCGAUAGAAUGAAGCAAGAAUUUUUUUUUGGCACACAUUUUUGUAUGUGAAACCAUCGGGUUUUUUUUUAUCGAAAAAUUAAAGACAGAUGAUGGAAUGACAAAUGACGUUAUUUUGACGGAUGUAUUUCGUCGAUGAAUUAAUCGGUAAAAUUUUCACUAACAAAAUGGUAAUCUCACGCUGAUGGAAACAUUUCAUCAGUAAAAGUGUUAAAUGUUGUAGUGGAAGAUUUAUUUCAAUUUUAAUAUGUAAUUUGGUUCUAAAAUACUCUUAAUUAUUGCAAAAACAAAAUAUUCUAACUAGUAUGAAAUGACUCAGUAUUAGUUUAGCAUCAUCAAUCAUGCUCAUUCUACCACCAUUUUAAGUAAAUAUUGCUUGCAUAUAUGACACUUAACUAGCGGUGACAGUAGCGAUUUACCACAUAGGAAAACAAAUUAAGGAAAAUUAUAAAAAAUAUGUUGUAAAAAAUUCCUUUAUAAAAAAAAAAACUCAUCAAAAUAUUUUUGUAUCUAUUUAAAAAAUUAAAAAAAAAUCUUGAGAUUACCACUAGUGGUGAUAAAAAAAAAUAAAAAAAAACAUAUUACACCGAGAAAAUAAAAAAAUUAGCCGAAAAAACCAAACCGAGCAAAAAAACUGAAUUAACUGAUUAGAAAACUUAAAAAAAAUCUAGUCCAGUUUUAAAAGUUUUAAACUGAUUAAACCAAACCGAACUGGAUCGGUUCAAUUUCAAGUUUCAACCCCAAUUUAAACCUAGGCAUAAAAGACUUAUUUUUUUUUACUCAAACCUUAUUUCCCUAAUUUCAUUUUCUCCCGUAGCCAACCCUCCCCUUCCUCUUUAGUUUUCUCACCUUUCCCUCUCCUCCCUCUUCUCUCCCCCUUUUCUUCCCUCUUCUCUUUGAUUUCUUAGUUUUGUGCAGUUAGAGAUGGGGAAACCCAAGUACUUUUUCAUUGCUUAUUUGCUCGUAUUCACUAAGAAAAUCAAUCUGGGUUUUAAUUUUUUUUUAAAUGGGUUUCUUGUAUUGUUUUGAAUAGAUAUAAGAAUACUUUCUCCUAAAAAUCUGCCUUAGUUUUCAUAACUUGGCUUAAUGUUGAAUUUCUUAUCAGCUUUGUGUGUUUGAAGGUUGUUGGUUCAUUGGACUUACAAAGAAGGAACAACUUGGUUUUCGAGCAAGGAAAGCAUUUUGUUGUUACUUUUUGUCCUCUUCUACUGGUUUUUUACCUAAAGUUUCACUUAGAAAUUAUUCCUUUGUUAUAGUUUGGUAGUAAACUCUUGUUAGAAAUUACUUGCAACUAUCACUUCCCUGCUAGAAAAAUGUCUUGUUUUUCUAACAAAACCAGCUACAUAAUCUUGUUUUGUGGUCUUGAAUUUUUCCUUUGACUUACCAAAAUCCUCCAUCAGCUUUAUUUUGUAGUUGAAACAAGUCCAGUUAGUUUUGAAAGAAAAAAACCAAACUAAACUGAACCGAAAUGGUCGGUUAGUUAGUUCGGUUUAUAAUUUAAAAAAAAUAUAAAUUUUAAUUUGGUUAGUAUUUUAGUUUAAAAUAGAAUUGAGCCAAAAAGGAUCACCCCUAGUGAAUACCAACAAACAUACAAUAACCAGUGGUUAACUUGUGAUCCAUAACAUUGCCAACCCAAUCAUAAUCACUAUAUCAAGUGAUUUCAGUAUGACCAUUAUUAGUCAUAACACUUCCACAUCUAAUAUAACCUUUUAGAUAUCAUAAAAUUUGCAUGACAAGACUCAAAUGAAAGAUUAUUGGUGCAUGCAUAAACUAACUAACAAGAUUAAUUACGCAAGUGAUAUCAAGCGUGUAAUAGUAAGAUAAAUGACCUUACCAACAAGAUGUUGAUAGUGAUUGAAACAUCAAAGAGGUUUGCUAGUUGUUUCAAGCUUCAACUUACUAUUCAAUGAAGUAGGGCCCUCUCAGCAUCUUUAAACAAGUUAAUAACAUACUUGCGUUGAACAAGAAAUAACCUUUUAUAAGAAACAACCAUUUCAAUUCCAAGAAAAUACUUUAAAUUAUCGAGAUCCUUAAUGGGAAAACAAUUUCAAUGUAGUCUUGAGACAAGAUAUUGCUUCACCAUUAUUUCCUUGUAAUAAUAAGGUCAUCAACAUAGAUACGAACCGGUAAUUUCUUCUUUGGUUUGAGAUAAACAAACAAAGAGAGUUGGCAUUACUUCUUUUAAAACUAAUUUCUUUAAGAACAACACUCAAUUGAACAUGUCAAGCACAUGGAGAUUGCUUCAACCCAUGAAUGGAUUUGUGAAGGUGACACAUUAAGGUAGGGUUUAAACUUUAAGGGUGACCAGGGGAAACCUCAUGUAGACUUCUUCUUCAAGGUCCCCAUACAAUAAGGCAUUCUUGACAUCCAUCUAACAUAUUAACCACCCAUUAUUUAUGACAAUUGAUAGCAAAACACGGAUAAUAUUCAUUUUUGUAACAGAAGAGAAAGUUUUCUUGUAAUUUACGCUAAAGGUUUAAGUAUAUCCCUAAGCCACAAGACAUGUCUUGUGUUUGUCAACAAAUCUAUCAAAGUUAAACUUGGUCUUAUAAACCCACCAGUUGCCAAUAACAUGUUUUCCUUGGAGAAGUUUGAUAAUGAUCUAGUUUAUUUACUUUGAUCAAGAGUUUGUAGCUUAUCAUGCAUAGCUUGUCUCCAUUCAACAUGAGAAUUGGCUUCCUAAAACUUUUAUGGCUCAUGGAUGUUAGAAGUAGUAGUGAGAAAAGCAAUAUGAGUAUAUAAGAGACAUUGAUAUGUAAGGAAAUUAGAGAUAGGAUGUCUUAUUGUAUAAAUGACAAAAUCUUGCAACUAUUUUGGGGGACCAUGAUUACGAAUUAGAUUUAUAUAAAGUUGUGGCAUAAGAGACUUAUGAAAAUCUCCCUCAAAAUCAUUGAUAAUAUGAUUGAUAGCCCUUGAGUUGAAAGGCAUAUCUGCAACUAAUAUAGAUAAAUGUUUACCAUGAUUGUUGUUGUCGCCAGUUUUAGAAUCUUUAUGACUAUUUCAAGAAUAUUUUGGUCUUCCAUCAAAAGCAAUUGUUUCAACUCUUAAUCAAGAAAGAUAAUUAAAUUCAUUUAACAAUAGUGAGCCUAAAUGUUGAUUAGGAUUUGAUUCUUCUUCCAAAAUAUUAGAUGAUCUAUUGGUGUUAUCAACACUAUCAGAUUAAAAAGAGUUUUUCAUAGGAAAUUUUAAACAAUCAACAGAGCAAUAACAACCAUCUUUGAUACCAUAAAGAAACAAAGGAAUAAAGUUUUUUGUUAUUUCUGAUGAAUAAUAUUUGUUACAACCGAAUGCCUUGCAUAUAGAGAGCAUAACUAUUAACAAUAGUAAAGGUGCUAAUCAAUCUCAUGUAAUCUUGGCAUGUCAAAGUAUAUCUUAAUCAUAUGUAUACUCGUACUGAUUCUAUCAAUUAUUUACACGACAACAGCAAUAAGAAUACAGAAAAAGGAAGAAUCGACAACAAUAUUGGAGUAGCAACAACAAUAAUAUAGGAUACAAUGUAGAAAUCAGCAAUAAUGUAGAAAUCAAUGUAGCUUUCCUUCGAUAAUACAGAAUCACAUAGAGUUUCUCCAGAAAAGAAAAAAACCAUAGUAAUUAAUGUGAUUUACUUAAAGUCAAGCCUCGCAAGACAAUACAGGAGACAACGUAGAAAUCAGCAAAAAUGUAGGAGGCAAUGUAGAAAUAAAUGUAGCUUUCCUUCAAUAAUACAGAAUCACAUAGAAUUUCUCCAGAAAAAAAAGAAAUAUAUAUAUUAAUUAAUGUGAUUUACUUAAAGUCAAGCCUCGCAAGCGUAAGCAGCUAAGCAAAAAGCUGCAAAACGGUUGAGAUGGGGUACGUCUAUAAUUUAUUGCUACACAUUGCUUUAGCAAACACUUUUUUGAGAUUUUUAGAGGGCAAUUUGCACGACGCGGUUCUAGAGCUUGCAUGACAGAGGAGCAACAGCUGGGUCUGAUGUCUGAGUUCUUCGCUUAGGCAAUCACUUGCCAAGUUCUACUGUUAGACUACGCGUGUUAAGUAUCAUUUCCUGUUCAUCACAGCCAACCACAAAAGCCAGUAAUAACUUAAUAAAGCAUCACUUGAAGAUCCUGGAAGUUGCCUCUCGGAGAAUCCUAUGUUUUGAUAUCACUAAUCUAUAAUAUAUUAUCAACCAAGUACACAUAUUUUUCUUUUUAAUUCGGACGCCUAAAUUUCGAUACAGAGUGCUGUGUGGGAAGUACAUAUUUGCCCUUGAUCUUUUUAUUUUAAUUCCUUUGAUCUGAUUCUCUGGGUGUCAACUGGGCUAGGAUCGAACCAUAGGGGUGACUUGCCAUGGAAGUCAUUAGAUUACUGAUCUAGAUCGAGGGCUUUAAUUUUACUAGCCUUUCCGUGCUGGUUUCUGAUGGGUGCAUGUGGGUUUGUAGUCUGCUAGAUGCCUGGAUUGCUCGAUGCCUUUUCUUCUCGAAGUUACUGAGUGGUUUGUCCAUGGAAGAACUGGUUUUUACUGAUGUAACAAAUUAAAUUACUGGCGGUAAACUUCUGGCCAAAAAGUCAUAAAACUGUAUUAUUGAUCUUUGAAAGAAAUUGUUAGCUCUUAGGACGUCACAGCACGCCACACUGAUAGAAAAUAAUUGAUAAAUUAAGGACUCCAUGUUCUUUUCGAUAUGUAUAGUGUAAAUAAUUUGACCAUUUCCAAAACUAUCUAGCUGUAAUAUUGAUUUUCUGAAGAUAAAUAACUUGAUUUGAAGUUAAUUUUUAAUUAUCAUGCCAUCAAGUAGACAUUUGGUAACCCAAUUUCUCUCCUUUUUUAUUAUGUGUAUGUAUAAAAGGGACUCUUGCCGAUAAUUAAAUUUUGUUUUACAGGUACUUGAUCGACAAUAUUUCUCUUCAUCGUGUUCUUUUUACGCGUAUGAAUAUUAAUGAUCUCUGGUGUGGUUUUGACAAUGGCUGGACAGACAGGUCAUUUCCGAGAAAAUCAAGAGGGACACUUAUUUCCAUUUUUAUAAGCUUGAAAUUAUCUGUCACCCAUUUCAUAUCCAUGUGUGUAACGUACUGUUCCUUGACCAGAGGCUCUGCUAAACCUGGAAACUCAAACCCCCACCAUCUAUAAAUACCAACUUUUGCUUCCACACUUUUACUUCAUUUCAUUAUUCCUUGCCUCGCUUUCAAAAAAACAAGAAGUUACCCUUGGAGUAAAACAGAAGUCUCCUUCAAACCCUUUUCCUCGCCAAAACAUUCAUCAUCCUUCAGCAAACUUUUUUGUUGGUUCAGAGAGCAUUUGGUUUUUGAAGGUUGAGAAAUCUAUAUUGCUCCAUCUAACAAUGGUGAAGAGCGAGCACAGAAUCCAGUCGGAGGCUUCAAAACCAGUGGCAACACCAUCAACGCCGUCACCGUCAGGAUGCAAGAAGAGGAAAUACAAGGGAGUUAGAAUGAGAAGUUGGGGCUCAUGGGUGUCAGAGAUAAGGGCACCGAAUCAAAAAACAAGAAUAUGGUUAGGCUCUUAUUCAACUCCUGAAGCUGCUGCUAGAGCCUAUGAUGCUGCACUUUUUUGUCUCAAGGGCUCCGCCGCCGCUCUCAACUUUCCUAUUACUCCGUCGCAUUACAUUCCUGACACUGUUAUGUCCCCAAAGUCCAUUCAAAGAGUGGCUGCAGCUGCCGCUAAUAGGUUUGAAGACAAUCCCACCACCCCACAAGCAUCAUCACCUCCUCUUCCUUGUUCCUCCUCCUCCUCCUCGUCAAUCUCAUCACCCCCGUCAGUGGUUUCCUCGCCGUCCGAUCAGCUUGAUGAUUUUAUAUCACUGAUGGAAUCUCUUGAGACCAACAAUGAACCAGUUUCAAUGCUAGAUUCUUGGUACAAUUUUGAUGGCUUACAAUCACCAAAGUAUCUUGAUCUCAAUUGGGUCUCAUUCAAUCCACCAAUGAUCGAUGAUUUAUACGAAGGGGAUCUUCGUCUAUGGAGCUUUGCUGAGUAGUUCUAAUCCAAGAUCAACCAAACCCAUAUCAUUCUUUUGUCCAUCUAUAAUAUUUGAUUUGUUCUUCCAUUGUUGCCUGGAGGCAUUACUGACAGUGACCUAAAGUUAUUAUUACAUAAUUAGUCUAUCGAGUUAGGAGAAAGAGACUCACAUGGGGAAGUUGAACAUUUUUUUGGACCAUCUCAUGUGGGUCUUAGAUAUUGAAUUUAUGUAGUAUUAAUUAUUUAAAGUGUGUUAUAUGCAAU
rnacentral:lncRNA from 1 species